rnacentral:rRNA from 1 species
AAACGUAGGGGGCGAGCGUUACCCGGAUUUACUGGGCGUAAAGCGCACGUAGGCGGUUCCGUAAGUCGGGCGUGAAAGCCCCCGGCUCAACCGGGGGAGGCCGUCCGAUACUGCGGGACUUGAGGGCAGGAGAGGGAGGUGGAAUUCCCGGUGUAGCGGUGGAAUGCGCAGAUAUCGGGAGGAACACCAGUGGCGAAGGCGGCCUCCUGGCCUGCCCCUGACGCUGAGGUGCGAAAGCGUGGGGAGCGAACGGGAUUAGAAACCCUGGUAGUCC